UUCAGACGUAAUGCGCGAAUCAAAUCGAAACCUUGACAUCCCCCCCCGGGCAUACCCCCGGGAAUUUGGAUUUUGACGUUUUGGUCAGGUCAAAUUCCCUACAUAUAUUUGUAAUUCCCGUUCAAAUACACCACGUAUUGGGAAAAAUUGGAGUUCAAAUGCCCCACCCCAUGUACGAAUUGGAAGCUACAGCAUUUCGCAAUUUUGGAAUUUCAAAGUUUUUCUUUCCUUCAAAAACUCUCUUCAAUCGUUCAAAGCCGUUUUCUUGUAGCCAACCAAGGACAGAGUUAAUUCCUUUGCACUUGAAGACCUUGAACUCAUCCAUUAAUUAUUGACGCCAUUUUGGAUUCUGCACACGUGUUUAAAAGAAAAAUUCAAAUUCCCGACCCCCUUCAAAUUCCCCACCUUCCACUAGAAAAAAAGUCAAAUUCCCGCCUUCUUAAAAUACUAAACAAGCAAAUUCCCCAGGUAUGCCCGGGGGGGGGGAUGUCAAGGUUUCGAUUUGAUUCGCGCAUUACAAAUAUGGCGUAAAAAUUCUGCAAGUUUAUAUUGAUCAAUCAUACCUUUAUUUGAAGGUAAUAUGCUUUAUUUAAUAUCAGUAUUUGUAGUAGAAUACUUAGAUGGCUAAUGUAGAUGGAAUUUUUAGGAAAUCGGGGUCGAAUUAAGUGCGAAAUUUCGGCACAAAGUUUGUAGUUUGCACGUGCAGUCGUGCAUCGGUUUGGUGGAUUGUCGAAAUAAAAACCGUGAUCCGAUUUUGUUAGCACUGACCAAUUCAAUAAAAAGACUAAGUAAGGUAUAAAAUUGUUGAAACCAUCGAGGAGAAAGAUCUUGAGGAGGCAAUAUAUUUUACAUCAUUAAAUUGUUUUAAUAGACCAUAUUUGUCAUUGAGCACUCUUCCCUUCACAAGUAAAACCCAGUCCUCAAAAUUAUGCACAUGUCAUCGGCCAUCCCCGGAGGGGGGACCCCGGGCUAAGGCGGGACUUUGAAUUCACAGUCAUAAAACUGUGCAAAUUUCCCCACCCUGUGGGGCAAGAAUACUUGUCAAUCUCCCACUUUUCCCCCGCCCUCAGGGGCUUGUAAAGAUGAGUACUUAUUUAUGAUUUAUUAGUUGUGAGCAAUUUCUAGACAUAAACUGUGAAGUCAUGUCAAAAUGUUGCAUCUUUUUCAAUGGAAACUACUUUUCUCCUCUCACCAUGCUGAACAAGGACCUUGAGAUAUUAAGAACAGUAUAUAAAUAUAUUAAAACUACAUUAAAUAAAUAUCAGCACAAACUAUGAAAUUUUGUUUAAAAAAAUAUUGUAUUCUCGAACAUGUUCAAUUCAAAUAACUCGAAGAGUACACAAAACAAGUCAUAAAUAACAUUGGAUUACAAAAAUGGUGACCUGAUGGCCAUUUUGAAAUGUAUAAUUCAUUAGAUUGAGUCUGAUUGACAUACUUUAUAAAUUCCUUUUCUGUGAUGCCCUCCAUGUUUAUAAAAGCGAUCGGUCCCAGUCUUUUUAUCUUUUUUAUACGUUUCCAAGAUGGCGUCAUGAAGGUCAAUUCCCCUGCCUCAGAAUUAGGUUUUGAGACAAACUAAUGAAUUUUCCCCGCUCCCUAGGGUAUAAAAGCAGUGCAAUCUCCGUGUAUUCCUUUCAUAUUUCCCCGCCCUAGCCCGGGGUCCCCCCUCCGGGGAUGGCCGAUGACAUGUGCAUUAGUGACGGCAAUUACCGCCGAUAUGCCGCUGAAAAGGAAAUUAUCAAUGGCUGAUUGCCGUCGAAGAAUUUUGCCAUUUAAUGGUAAUACCUUCAUGGUUCCAUUAUUCGAUUGGAAGGUAUAAAUACCUUCAUGGCUUCAUUAUUCGAUUGAUUCUUCUUAGCUUUGCUGCUAUCCAACAAAUAACAUCGUAUCAAUGUUAAUUCUUCACCCACCCAACUACUCCAGAUAAUGUCGAUCAAUAUUCAGCCGUAUUUUGACUUUCGUAUUUAUGAUACAAAAUCUGUACCGUGAUACUUUAUACUUUGGACAUUAAUUGUCAAAUUUCUACGAGAUAACGUUGAUAAGUUCACAUAAAAACCCACCCACUCAUAAUGUCGUUCAACGUUAUUAGUGGCAACAUGAAUAUGGACGUGCGAACAUUUAAUUUAAACCUUUGUCUUUUUUAUUUUCUUGCUUUUGAAGAGUCUGCAAAUAAUUUUUCAUUACAGUAUAUAACGUGAGGAGUUUCUUCCAUGUCCGUCGAUGAACAAGUGUAUACUAUAUAUCUUCUAUUUUUUAAGGACUUUUUAAAGAAAAAAAAUUGCUGCCGAACUCAAAGAUAUCUAUGGCAAUUUUUUGCCGAUGAGGAUUUAUGCUAAUUUCGAGGACUGAAAAUUGUCUGGUGUUUAUAAACUAAAAUAAUAAAAUAGGGUACAUCAGGGCACAAUGCAGCUUUAUGGCCAGGCGGGUGUAAUUUGCAGAAUGCAGAACGCAACUUCUGUACUUUCGCUCAGAGGUGAUAUGUAAAAGCUGUCCAAAAGUGUUGGGGGGUUAGAGUUACGUUCCUAACCUUGUAAAAGCUGAGCGAAACUACAGAAGUUGCAUUUUGCAUUGUGCAAAUUAAUGGCCUGUACAAAAAAGUAAUAAUUGUUUAAUAAUAAUUCUUGUUUAUUUUGUCAUUCCGGAAAAGAUCUGCGCUGCCCCCAAGAAGAAAUUUUCUGCCGUCCAGGGUUAACUUACAAUCUCCUGCGGGAGGUACAUGGAUUUUUCUGGAAUGACAUUAUACAACCCUGGAUAUAUUUUAUGUACCCCAGUUACUAGUCGAUCAUUUACAUCCUCAGUAAAUUUAUCUUAAAAUUUUGUAGAUAUUCAUCGCAAGUUGAAUCCACAUUUCACCAAGUUCCUUCCUGAAGAUUUGUUGAUUACUUUGACAAAUGAACCCUUUCGAAAAAGGUAUGUACUUUUCCUGUUUAUGUUGUAUAUCUUAAUAACUUUACCAUUUAACCAAUUGAGUGCCAACACUCUCCCUUGACAACUAAAAUUGUCUGUCUUAUAGACACUGAGUAAAAUAAUAAAGUACUGAGUGCAUUAGGGUGCAAUACAGCUUAAUGGGUUGACUGGACACAAUUGAGCAGAUAACCUGAUUAAUCGGCCCAAUUUGAGUGCCAACUGGUGUCUGGCAUAUAGACAGAGUAAAAUUGUACAUCUAACAUUAUCUAAUAAUAUGAAAACAAAUUUAUGUAUUAUGGAGAGAGCAAAUCUCUUUCUUCCUUUCGAAAGUAAAUUGCUACUCAAUUGAUAGCUAAUAAAUGUAAUAACCUGUAAAUAGAUCAUUAUACCAUGCAGUUAAUUACAUUAUAUAUAAUACCAUAUUUCUUUCAUAAUUUUGUAAAUAUUAUGGCUUCUAAAAUUCUUUAAAUGUAUCAAGCUUUCUAUGACUUUUGUGCAUGCCCCUUGUGGAAAUCAGUUUUGGUUGACAGGUUUAAAAAAAGUUUUCUAUCUGUCUAAAAAAAACCAGAAUAAAGUAAAUUCUAAAUUAGGAUCCCAUUCAGCUUAUUGAGUUAACCCAUAUGCAAAGCUGCAAUGUGGCAUGUGCCUGGUUGUAUUGUUUCAUUCUCCCGGGUUUAAAUUAUUUCACAUCCUCAAAAAUCAAUUUUGGAAUUUUUAGAUAUAUGUUGCAAGUUCCAAGAAUGCCUGAAGUUGUUGGCUGAAGUUUUGUAAACUUCAAAAAAAUGAACACUGUCAUUGGAAAGUAUAUAAACAGGUCUUGAUAUUUUUAUGUCUUAUUUUAUGUAUCACAUGCUUUGAAAAUUACAUGAUUGCUGCGAUCAGUGGCUGAGUUUACUAUUGAGUUUUUAAAAAAGGUGGCAAAAUACUGCAUGAUUGUAAAUCCACAAUAUUUAUUUUAUGAACACACAACCUUUUCAGCAGGUGUAGAUUUGGAAAUUGCAGUUUCACGCUCUGCGUCUUUUAAGUCACCAAUCAGAGGCAGUUGCUAGUUUUCAAAGCAUUCUAAUUUCAAAUCAAGCCAAGGAAUGAUAAACUGUGUGUUUUGAAAAGUGUACAUGUACAUGCAUGUUUUCAGUUUUGAUAUAUGUUUUUCAUGUUUGGCAUAAUGCUUAUUUGGGUUUUCAAGUUUCAAAAGAUUUUGCAUGUUAGAUAUCAUAAUUUGUGGAAAAAAUAAAACAUUUUCAGUUUGUCAUUAUUUGGCUUUGCAACAUCAAUUAAACAGUGAGAAGAUUGAGAUGGUUCUAUAAGAAACAUUCCCUUACAGAUAAAACAUGUAUGUUCAAGUCACCAUUGAAUUCAUAUUCUGUGUUUUUAGUCAUUUGAAGCAUGUUCCCAUUGAAACAUGAAAAUGAACAAUGAACUUGAACUUGUUUAUCAAAAUGCAUUGUGAAUAAAAGUUAAUUUUGGUUUCUGAAGUACCAUCUUAAUCCUCUUUUGUUUUAAGCAGACUUCAAGUGUUUGUUUGACAGUUAAGAAAGUUUGUUUGAAAUCACAUUUAGGUUCUAGAUGUUAUUAGAGCCUUUAAAUAUUAAAUCUUGGAACAAGCAAUUUUGGAUCAAUUGCAGUAUACAACACCUUUUAAAUUAGCACUGUUAGAACUGCCUCGUUGUUUAAUAGUCUUGUCUUAUUUACCCCAGCACACUCUUAAUACAUGAGUUUGAUUAUUCCUGGACACAAAUAAAAUGGAUUUGUUGAGGAACAAGGCAGUUCUAUACAGUGUUGACUUAUGGGGGGUUGUAAACUUCAGUUGUACGUUAUUUGAUUCCUUUGGCAAAUGAUUGUACGUGGCUUUUAACAGCACAUUUGAACUUUGAAACGAAUAUUGUGAUUUUAAAUUUUAACUUUUCCAACUUUAAAACAAACAGUUGGAGUCUAAAUAAGCCAGCAUAUUGUCUUUACCUUUUUACAAAGUGGACUUGUUUGAAUACGGAUGAACUGAAGCAGCAAGACUACACUACUGUACAGUAUACUGAAUUUGGGGGGUAAUGUGAGAUAGUAAAACUAAAAGAAAAGUGAUUGUCAUCACACAGCAAAGAAAACCACAACCGGACGAAGUUGAUGAUUUUCGGAAUAUGUCAAUUUGUGGCAAAGAAAAAACCAAUGAAAAGUAUUCAAAAGUGUAUAAUUGUUUGGUAAAAUGUGGUUAUAAUUUCAUAAAUAACCACUUUUAGCCAUUAGGGUUUCAAUACUUCUUGAACAAAAUAAGUUAAUACUAAUGCAAGGAAAAGCUAAUCAUGAUUGUACUGUCAGACCAUACAAUUUCAAACAGUUGGUGCCAGUAUAGGUAGCAAUGAUAAGUAAAUAACAAACAUGAGCGAUAUGUGGGAAUUAGAAUUACAUGAAAAUAUAUAGCAGUAAAUAGUUGUACAAAGCUGACACAUAUACAAUCUGAGCAAACUUGAAACAAAAUUUGUUAGUCUUUAUGACAAACUAUUAUACUUAAUUUCACUCAAGUCAAAUGCCUGACAUAUUUCAUUCAAAGAAUUUUCAAAUAAUUUCAGGACUUACUGUAAUUGAAUACACCCUAGUGGUAAUUAUAAUCUAAAUCUCAGUUCUUGGUACAGGAGCUUCGUUUCCAUGCCUAAUUUGCUAAUCUUUUGCCUUUGUUCUUCAUGACUCGUGUGAGGCAGAGAGCAUCAGCCAGGCUCUUGUGGUUGUAUACUAAAAUGUCUUUCGAAUUAAAAGAAAUAUUUUCAUUCUGGUUUAAGACAAACUGUUAAUCCAAGACUAACAUGUUGUAAAAUGAAAAUACAAGUCAAAACAAGUAAAUAAUUUUUAUUUUUGAGCUUACGAGAUAUUCUUUGAAAUAUUUUUUGUUUUAACUUUUUAUUGUCUGAUUGUUGUUAAUUCAUGUUUGGCAAUUGAAAUUACUGUAAUUUGUUAAUUUUCAUAUUUUCGUUUCCUUGGCUUCAGUUCAACUUUCAAAUAGUUCCACUUUGUAACAGUAUCUUAUAAUAGUCAUAAUAAUAAUAUAAGAAAACAGGUUUACAUGGCAUCUGAACAUGGUCUUUUCAACCAGUAAGUGAAGGUAAGUUUAUACUUCAAAGAGAUGUGUUUUUUUUUUAACCUGACAACAUUGCUAUCAAAACUUGACUAAAAUGCCAUCUUUAUUUCGUAGUCAAAAUUUCUGCUCUGCAAAUAAAUUUCAUCCGUUCAACCAGUAUUUUUGUUUGGUUUGUUUUAACGUUCAUACUACAAUUUGAUUAAAGUGCAAUAUGAUAUUUUGUUUGUUGGAAGAGAAAUUAGGGAUUGUAUGGAAAUUUUUUUUAAACCAAAAGCACUAUAUUAUAUUUGGUGAUCAAAGAUGUCCUCAUAUAGGGUUUCGAGCUAUUUUGGUCAAAUUUGUCUAGUUUUAGUUUUGAGUAACAUCAUCAAUAUUUCUAUAUACCUUAAACUCUUGUUUUGAAUUAUGUAAAUUAAUAAGC